UAUAUAUCUGGAAUUUAGCUGUAAUUCUGUAUUUUGCCAGUACGGGCAAAAUUAUAGUAACCAGUAAUAAGCCAGCACUGGUAGAUAUUCAAAAUUUAGGGUUCUUUUUGCUUUUUACAAAAAUACACAAUUUUCACGUCUAUGAAGUUGGCGUCGACGCUCAACGUCGAAAAUUAUUUUUCACGGUACCAAAAAUAACAAAUUAUUUUUAAAAAAACUUUUGGGUUCACAUAAUACCUUAAAAAGUAUUUCUUAAGGCAUUACAUAUUUGGAGCAAAAAUCUUUAAAAAAAAAAAAAAAAAAAAAAUUUUUCCAUACAUUAUUCUAGAUUAUGCCAAGAGUCAAAAACAUUAGUACAAAAGUAGGAAAAUUGUAUAAUUUUUCUGGAAAUCUUUUCGGUGUUAUAGAGUAAGUCCUGGGGAGUUGACCAUAGUUUUUUUAAAGGGAUUAAAGUCUUCUUUUCUUCUUCUGACCACAUUUCGAACAUUUAUCAUUAAAUGCAGUGCAAUUUUCAUGAAUCCCAAGGUGAUAAUCAUUCCACUGAAUCCAGUCUUCGAUUAGCGCUGUCUGUCUGUCUCACCAACACAACAUGGCAACAUGUAAUUUGUAAAUUUAGCUAGAAUCAUCCGACACGAGAAAAACUGUUCAGUAACUUGACGAAUUCUAGUGGUGCCAUGACAAAUUUCUACUAGGAGUACCGACAAUUUCCGAUGAUAGUGUAUAACUAUUCAGUCGGAUUCUUAUUUUAA